UACGUAGGUGGCAAGCGUUGUCCGGAAUUAUUGGGCGUAAAGCGCGCGCAGGCGGUCCUUUAAGUCUGAUGUGAAAGCCCACGGCUCAACCGUGGAGGGUCAUUGGAACUGGGGGACUUGAGUGCAGAAGAGGAAAGUGGAAUUCCAAGUGUAGCGGUGAAAUGCGUAGAGAUUUGGAGGAACACCAGUGGCGAAGGCGA
rnacentral:rRNA from 1 species